rnacentral:rRNA from 1 species
UACGGAGGGUGCAAGCGUUGUCCGGAAUCACUGGGCGUAAAGGGUGCGUAGGCGGCUCAUGAAGUCUGUGGUGAAAGUCCGGGGCUCAACCUCGGAUCGGCCGUGGCGACUCUUGGGCUGGAGCACUGUAGAGGCGGGUGGAAUUCCGAGUGUAGCGGUGGAAUGCGUAGAGAUCCGGAAGAACACCAGUGGCGAAGGCGGCCCGCUGGGCAGUGGCUGACGCUGAGGCGCGACAGCGUGGGGAGCAAACAGG